AAAAAAAAAACUACAAAAUUCUGAUAAGGAUUUUUUUUCCUGGUUGGCUGAAAUAUUUUUGUCACUGAACCACUUGACUUAAUAUUAACCUGAUAGCCGAAUCUUACAUCAAUUAAUUCAAAGAUGAAAUCACCAUUCCAUUAAGUGCCUAGGGUUUCGUUUGAGUUGCAUAUGAUUUCAAUUGAAAGAUGCUUUACAUGAUUUUACAUUGGAUUGGUCUGGAAAUUGAAUAAUACCACUGAAUUAUGCAAGCUGAGUGCCAAAGCUUUAUUAGGACACGACAGAAAGCAUAACACAAAAAAUCCAAUAACUGUUCUCAUAACAUCGAUCAGACUGUGCAAUUGAUUGUGAUACAGUUGUGUUUGAUCGUCGUGUGUUAAGCAUCUCAGCA